UACGUAGGGUGCAAGCGUUGUCCGGAAUUAUUGGGCGUAAAGAGCUCGUAGGCGGUCUGUCGCGUCGGCUGUGAAAUCCCGAGGCUCAACCUCGGGUCUGCAGUCGAUACGGGCAAACUGGAGUACUGCAGGGGAGACCGGAAUUCCUGGUGUAGCGGUGAAAUGCGCAGAUAUCAGGAGGAACACCGGUGGCGAAGGCGGGUCUCUGGGCCUUACCUGACACUGAGGAGCGAAAGCGUGGGGAGCGAACAGG
rnacentral:rRNA from 1 species